rnacentral:rRNA from 1 species
AGUUUGAUCCUGGCUCAGAGCGAACGCUGGCGGCAGGCUUAACACAUGCAAGUCGAGCGGGCCCUUCGGGGUCAGCGGCGGACGGGUGAGUAACGCGUGGGAACGUGCCCUCUGGUUCGGAAUAACUCAGGGAAACUUGAGCUAAUACCGGAUACGCCCUUUUGGGGAAAGGCUUGCUGCCGGAGGAUCGGCCCGCGUCUGAUUAGCUAGUUGGUGGGGUAAAGGCCUACCAAGGCGACGAUCCAUAGCUGGUCUGAGAGGAUGAUCAGCCACACUGGAACUGAGACACGGUCCAGACUCCUACGGGAGGCAGCAGUGGGGAAUAUUGGACAAUGGGCGAAAGCCUGAUCCAGCCAUGCCGCGUGGGUGAAGAAGGCCUUCGGGUUGUAAAGCCCUUUUGUUGGGAAAGAAAAGCAGUCGGUUAAUACCCGAUUGUUCUGACGGUACCCAAAGAAUAAGCACCGGCUAACUUCGUGCCAGCAGCCGCGGUAA